rnacentral:rRNA from 1 species
AGAGUUUGAUCCUGGCUCAGAUUGAACGCUGGCGGCGUGCCUAACACAUGCAAGUCGAGCGGUAACAGGUGUAGCAAUACAUGCUGACGAGCGGCGAACGGGUGAGUAAUGCUUUGGAAUCUUCCCAGUAGUGGGGAAUAACCAGUCGAAAGAUUGGCUAAUACCGCAUACGUCUGUAAAGGGAAAGCGGGGGCUCGUAAGACCUCGCGCUAUUGGAUGAGCCAAAGUCGGAUUAGCUAGUUGGUGGGGUAAUGGCCUACCAAGGCGACAAUCCGUAGCUGGUCUGAGAGGACGACCAGCCACACCGGAACUGAGACACGGUCCGGACUCCUACGGGAGGCAGCAGUGGGGAAUAUUGGACAAUGGGGGAAACCCUGAUCCAGCGACGCCGCGUGUGUGAAGAAGGCCUGCGGGUUGUAAAGCACUUUUAGUGGGGACAAAAAGCUACGGACUAAUACUCUGUGGUCUUGAUUUAACCCAAAGAAAAAGCACCGGCUAACUCUGUGCCAGCAGCCGCGGUAAUACAGAGGGUGCGAGCGUUAAUCGGAAUUACUGGGCGUAAAGCGCGCGUAGACGGUUUUGUAAGUCAGAUGUGAAAUCCCUGGGCUCAACCUGGGAACUGCAUUUGAGACUGCAUGGCUAGAGUAUGGAAGAGGGAAGUGGAAUUUCCGGUGUAGCGGUGAAAUGCGUAGAUAUCGGAAGGAACACCAGUGGCGAAAGCGACUUCCUGGUCCAAUACUGACGUUCAUGUGCGAAAGCGUGGGGAGCAAACAGGAUUAGAUACCCCAGUAGUCC